rnacentral:rRNA from 1 species
GCGGACGGGUGAGUAACACGUGGAUAACCUACCUAUAAGACUGGGAUAACUUCGGGAAACCGGAGCUAAUACCGGAUAAUAUUUUGAACCGCAUGGUUCAAAAGUGAAAGACGGUCUUGCUGUCACUUAUAGAUGGAUCCGCGCUGCAUUAGCUAGUUGGUAAGGUAACGGCUUACCAAGGCAACGAUGCAUAGCCGACCUGAGAGGGUGAUCGGCCACACUGGAACUGAGACACGGUCCAGACUCCUACGGGAGGCAGCAGUAGGGAAUCUUCCGCAAUGGGCGAAAGCCUGACGGAGCAACGCCGCGUGAGUGAUGAAGGUCUUCGGAUCGUAAAACUCUGUUAUUAGGGAAGAACAUAUGUGUAAGUAACUGUGCACAUCUUGACGGUACCUAAUCAGAAAGCCACGGCUAACUACGUGCCAGCAGCCGCGGUAAUACGUAGGUGGCAAGCGUUAUCCGGAAUUAUUGGGCGUAAAGCGCGCGUAGGCGGUUUUUUAAGUCUGAUGUGAAAGCCCACGGCUCAACCGUGGAGGGUCAUUGGAAACUGGAAAACUUGAGUGCAGAAGAGGAAAGUGGAAUUCCAUGUGUAGCGGUGAAAUGCGCAGAGAUAUGGAGGAACACCAGUGGCGAAGGCGACUUUCUGGUCUGUAACUGACGCUGAUGUGCGAAAGCGUGGGGAUCAAACAGGAUUAGAUACCCUGGUAGUCCACGCCGUAAACGAUGAGUGCUAAGUGUUAGGGGGUUUCCGCCCCUUAGUGCUGCAGCUAACGCAUUAAGCACUCCGCCUGGGGAGUACGACCGCAAGGUUGAAACUCAAAGGAAUUGACGGGGACCCGCACAAGCGGUGGAGCAUGUGGUUUAAUUCGAAGCAACGCGAAGAACCUUACCAAAUCUUGACAUCCUUUGACAACUCUAGAGAUAGAGCCUUCCCCUUCGG